AGAGUUUGAUCCUGGCUCAGGAUGAACGCUGGCGGCGUGCUUAACACAUGCAAGUCGAACGAACCUUCGGGUUAGUGGCGGACGGGUGAGUAACGCGUGGGAAUCUGCCCUCAGGAGGGGGAUAACGGCUGGAAACGGCCGCUAAUACCCCAUAUGCCGAGAGGUGAAAUGAAUUUCGCCUGAGGAUGAGCCCGCGUCUGAUUAGCUUGUUGGUGAGGUAAUGGCUCACCAAGGCUUCGAUCAGUAGCUGGUCUGAGAGGAUGAUCAGCCACACUGGGACUGAGACACGGCCCAGACUCCUACGGGAGGCAGCAGUGGGGAAUUUUCCGCAAUGGGCGAAAGCCUGACGGAGCAACGCCGCGUGAGGGAUGAAGGCCUCUGGGCUGUAAACCUCUUUUCUCAAGGAAGAAGAUCUGACGGUACUUGAGGAAUAAGCCACGGCUAAUUCCGUGCCAGCAGCCGCGGUAAUACGGGAGUGGCAAGCGUUAUCCGGAAUUAUUGGGCGUAAAGCGUCCGCAGGCGGCCUUUCAAGUCUGCUGUUAAAACGUGGAGCUUAACUCCAUCAAGGCAGUGGAAACUGUUGGGCUUGAGUGUGGUAGGGGCAGAGGGAAUUCCCGGUGUAGCGGUGAAAUGCGUAGAUAUCGGGAAGAACACCAGUGGCGAAGGCGCUCUGCUGGGCCAUAACUGACGCUCAUGGACGAAAGCCAGGGGAGCGAAAGGGAUUAGAUACCCCUGUAGUCCUGGCCGUAAACGAUGAACACUAGGUGUCGGGGGAAUCGACCCCCUCGGUGUCGUAGCCAACGCGUUAAGUGUUCCGCCUGGGGAGUACGCACGCAAGUGUGAAACUCAAAGGAAUUGACGGGGGCCCGCACAAGCGGUGGAGUAUGUGGUUUAAUUCGAUGCAACGCGAAGAACCUUACCAGGGUUUGACAUCCUGCGAACCUCUUAGAAAUUUGAGGGUGCCUUCGGGAACGCAGUGACAGGUGGUGCAUGGCUGUCGUCAGCUCGUGUCGUGAGAUGUUGGGUUAAGUCCCGCAACGAGCGCAACCCACGUUUUUAGUUGCCAGCAUUUAGUUGGGCACUCUAGAGAGACCGCCGGUGAUAAACCGGAGGAAGGUGUGGACGACGUCAAGUCAUCAUGCCCCUUACAUCCUGGGCUACACACGUACUACAAUGCUACGGACAAAGGGCAGCUAACUCGCGAGAGCAAGCAAAUCCCAUAAACCGUGGCUCAGUUCAGAUCGUAGGCUGCAACUCGCCUACGUGAAGCAGGAAUCGCUAGUAAUCGCAGGUCAGCAUACUGCGGUGAAUACGUUCCCGGGCCUUGUACACACCGCCCGUCACACCAUGGAAGUUGGCCACGCCCGAAGUCGUUACUCCAACCCUUGUGGAGGAGGACGCCGAAGGUGGGGCUAAUGACUGGGGUGAAGUCGUAACAAGGUAGCCGUACCGGAAGGUGCGGCUG
rnacentral:rRNA from 1 species